UCAAAUAAUGUAAAAAAUAAAAUAGAUAUUGACAUGGAUUGAACAAAAGAUAUAUAUUAUUUUAUGUUGCAUAAACAAAUUGGCAAAAUAGAGAUGGAAGAUAAAAAUAUGGUCAAAGUAAUAAGAGUCUAUGGUGAAUGCCUAGGAGCUUUAAGGCGAAGAAGGUCGUGGUAAGCUGCGAAAAGCUUGGGGGAGAAGCAAACAUUUAUUGAUCCCAAGAUUACCGAAUGGAGUAAUCCAACUAGCAAGAUGCUAGUUAUCUAUUAUCUAAAUAAUAGAGGCGAUACC
rnacentral:misc_RNA from 1 species